CUGGCUGCACCCCUGCAGUGGCGGAGCCAGAAAGUGUUCAUUGGGGUGGCCAAGGUGAGACCAUUACUCACAUACGGGUGGCAAAAAGUUGAUACCUGAAUUGUCUAGAUGGCCAGUGGGGUGGCCGGAGAGUGACCAGGGGUAGCUCCGCCACUGCUUUUGGACCGUCCUUUAGAGCAACUAAUAGCUGAGCAGUGUGCCAAGGACAUGCACGGAAGUUGAUGCCGAUCGACUCAUUGGUUUGCACGCCCACUCAUGCUGCCACAGAGAGCUUCCAUUAUUAACAGAUUUAUGUGCUGAAUCACGCUUUAGAAUUUAAGUUAAAGUCAAGAUAGUGAGAAAACCUGACCGGAACCAACUGAAGUAAUCAUGGAAAACUUACCUACCACUUGCGUCACUUGAUCCUCCACACGGAAAGUUGUGUGCUGCAGUGAAAUGCGUCCUUGUGGAAACAGCGGUCUGGCUGAACUAUUGUUCUGCACCACAAGCCGUGGGGGUGGCUGGAGAGUGACCAAGGGUGCUACGGCCACCCAGUAGUUUAAGCCACUGUUGGCUAUAUGAUAUGAAAAAAGGAACUAUAAAAUAAUGUAAUUUAUACAAAACAUAUUUUAUUUACUUUUUGAAAACAACUCGUGAAACCUUCAGAGGACGAGACGCCUUUUUAAAGCAGACUUUGGCGAGCUUCCACCGCUGAGAACGGCUGCUCUGGUCCAAUUAAUUCAAUUAUUUUUCAGGUUUUUAGCUUAGCCUUCUGUCACACACAUACCGGUGGGCGGCGGUCCGUUUGUGUAGCGCAACAUAGGGUGAAAAGACCGGGCGAAGUUGUUGGCCUCGGAGCAGCUCGAGUCUCUCUCCGACUGAGGCACCAAACAGGGGAGGAGAAGCAGGAGCAGCAGGAGGAGGUGAAAGGGGAUGGCGGCUCUUAGCACCCGGUGGAAGAAGGACAGCGGUGGAGACGGGUCUCUCCUAUGGAUCGACGUAUGGAUCAAGUUUACGUCAGGAAUAUCAACAUACAGUAAAGUAAACACUAUGAACAGCUAGAAAUGGACAUCUCGUAAAUUAUUAGUAAUAUAAUACUAUCAAUAUUCUAUUCAUUCAUUCAUGAAUGAAUAUUCUAAAUAUUUUAUAAUGUUUUUUAUAUAUUAAGUAAAUAUAAAAAGUCCCCCUGAACAAUUUGGUAUAUGAAUUAAAAUAAAUAAUCAUAUAGUCAUUAUGAUGAUAACUCUUGUCAGUUUCCUAGUUUUAAGGCACAGUGAGCCCCUUCAGUGCAUCAUUAUCCAAACCAUUCCACUUGUUCAUACAAUAACAACACCAAAUCAAUCAAUCAAUACUAAUUUCUCAGUCUUUGCUGUCACGCUAUGAUAGAGGAGACAGUGGUGUACCUUUUGGUGGAUUUUUUUCGGUGUGUGACCUCCUGAGAAGAAUCUGGAGGAAUGUUUUGACCUUCAUUAGUGUCCCGAUCCUGGAUUUAGAAAGACAAAGCAUUAUCAGAUACUGAUACUGAUAACUUUUUUAAAUUUAGAUUUAACUGUAGUCUGUGCACACCUGGAGGUAAGAAGGACUUGAACGUAUGUGGAUUUGACCAACCGUACCUGUUAAUUUGUCUUACUCCAAUAUCCUGACAUGAUGGCCACCACACCACUACUAUCUGGAGACCCAUAGUAUAGAGGGGAGGGAGCCACCUGCUGUGGCCCAGCAAGGUGCACUAUAUUUGGACACAUGCUCUGAGUAGCCGGUGUGACGCCACAGAGGUCUUGGGCAAACCUUUUGCAAUUUUGAAACUCCGCGGCACUGGCGGUUCAGGUGGCUGAUACGGUUUGUUGUGUGCUUGGUGGGGUUUUUUUCCCCUCAUCGCAGAGCAUUUGGUACAACGUCUCAGAAGAAUACAAAUUGUGUCUCAAUUCAUGCGCUUCCACAUUUAGCAUUUUGAAUUUUUGCAUUGAGAAGUGGGGCAAAAUGCAAUGUACAGUAUCUGGAUGUUGCCCUCGACACGCCCCAAAUGGUGAGUGUGCAGCAAUGGGUGCUAAGGGGAGGGACCAAUAGAAUAAAAUACUAGGAUCUUCAUAUCAGGUAACUGCGCAACAGUAAUACUGUAGAUCUGGGACAGCACUGCACUGUCAAAAUGUCCUCAGGAAGUAAGUACACAGUGUCCAUGAAUUACAGGACUGCAUUUGAGACACAGCCUGGGUGUUGAGUUACCAGACGUUCUUGUUCAAGGACGCUCAGGUCCUGGGACACGUCCUUCAGGAGCAACUUCAGUUUGGUGCCCGUCACGUGGAGCUUCUCCUGGGCCUCGUCACUUCCCUCCACCCCUUCCUCCGGCUGGAGCUGAGACCACAGAGCCUGGAGGGAGGCCUGCUGAGUCUGCCUCUCCAGCAGCUCCUUCUGCAGUACCUCCACACCACAACAACAAGGAUCCUUACUAUAUCAUCAUGCACUACUACUACAAAAACCCGAUAUACUUACAGUGAGGGUGUGCCGGUGCUGUUUGAGAGCUUGCACAGGUGUUUCUGGAUGCCUGAUGUCCACCGCGUGGCGUUUCUUGUCGGCGUGGGCCAACCACAGCAGCAGAGAGUGGAGGCUCUCAUGGAACUCCUGCAUGAUGGAUGAUAUUCUAGCGCAUGAGAGUCCGCCUCAGGCUGGCGUCCCACUGCUGAAGAAUUGCAGAAGCUCGACUCCAGGCUCGAUUCAGACCAGCCAGCCUCUCCUGCUGCUCAGGGACUUCCAGAGCCCGCAGGUUGGUAGACAACAUGAUGGGCUUGUAGUGCGUAAACAUCUUCUGCAACUCCUGCAAGAGUGACAAACAUGAACGUCACCAGUAGCUCUUUGUCCAACCAAGGAGGUAUUACAUUACCGCUAGCUGUUGCUUUCUGACUUUACACGAUUAAACAAAAACUAAGUGAAUUCAUUUGAAUGACGUUUUGCGAACAAAAAAUUGCAACUUACAACAUUUUGGUGAAAAUCUGAAUAAAAAUGUGGACAGACAGAUUUUGCUUUCUCUUUUGCCUGUUUGAUUCAGUACGGAAACAUCAAAAAUGGUGUGGUCCUGUCGUCUUAUGUAAUCCUGCAUCAUUACGUGCCAUUUAUUGCCAUCUACUACCUUGGUCUUA